rnacentral:rRNA from 1 species
GGCUUACCAAGGCGACGAUCAGUAGCCGACCUGAGAGGGUGAUCGGCCACAUUGGAACUGAGACACGGUCCAAACUCCUACGGGAGGCAGCAGUGGGGAAUAUUGCACAAUGGGCGAAAGCCUGCUGCAGCAACGCCGCGCGAGUGAUGAAGGCCGUCGGGUCGUCAGACUCUGUCAUCAAGGGAGAUAAUGAAGGGACUUGAGGUGGAAGCC